GACUGUGGAACCCUUUUCUCAAGGUAACUAACUCCAUAUCCUUUUAUGAAAUCUAUGUGCUUGAAAACGAGUCCCUUGCUCAUCCAUUCUAAGCACAAUAGUCGUAACAAUUCUUUGAUUUAGCGAGGGAUACGAAAUAACUAAACUAAAAGAGCUGGCAUUAAAUGCUUCGUCUUUCAAAUCCCAGUUAUUGUAGAUAUAUAGAUAAUAGACUUAAUUUUCAUUAUUCUUUGUCUGAUAUAUAUACUCUCU
rnacentral:misc_RNA from 1 species